CGUAAUUAUUAUGUAAUUUUAACUUCUCUUAAUUUAUGUAAUACUGGUGUAAUUUAACCUUUUUGGGUUACAAAGUCAGUAAUCAUUAAAUCAAUUCAAUUCAAUUCAAAUAUAAAUGGUUUGGUAGCAGAAACAUUUAUUCAUUUGGCAAAGGCCAUAAUAUAUUUUUCUGCAUGACAUAAUAUAUUUUUCACAAGUCAUACAGAAGUUUAACAGACCUGAACCUCUCUGCUGGUAAUAAUAAUAAUAAUAAUAACAAUAAUAAUAACAUUUAUCCAGGAUACCCACAUCACAUACGUGUUUUUCAGUGGGGUCUGCUACCCAGAGUUCUCUCUGCUCCGCAGAGGUUUCCGUGAAUUUUGCGAGUCUCGCUGUUAUGAAUUACGGUCAACACUUCAGGUGAGGAUUAGGGUCAGGAUCAACAUUCAAAAACAGCGAUACGUGAAUCUAU